AGUCUACAAGUCCUACACAUAUUUGUCAGAUUUAUCUCCAAGUAUUUCACAUUUUUUGAUGCGAUUGUAAAUGAGGGUUUUUUUUUUCACCGAGCUUUUUAACUGUAGAGUCAUGAUUCACAAGCAGUUGUAAGCAAUGAUACAGAGAGGCCCACUGUACCCUGUACCCAGUUUUCCCCAGUGUAACAUCUUGCAACACUGUAUGACCACAUCACAACCAGGGUGUUGACAUGGAUACAGUCAGGAUACAGAGUGCUCCGUCACCGCGGGAUCCCUCCCGCAGCGCUUUUACAGCCACAUCUGCUUAACCCCUGGCAACCACUAAUGUGCUCUCCAUUUCUAAAAUUUUGUUUCAAGAGUGUUACAUCAAUGGAAUCACACAAAGAUAGCUUUCUGAGAUUGUCUGUUUUCACUCAGCAGAAUGACCUGGAGAUCCAUCCGCAUUCUGAGACAACAGUUCCUUCCUUUUGACUACUGAGCAGCAUUUUGGGGCAUGGAUGUACCAUGCUGGUCUAACCUUUAACUAUCCAGCUAUUGAAGGACAACUAGGCUGUUUCCAGUCUUUCUGGGGAUGGUUUUAGCUCAGUCUUGAGCACUCUAUUCCCCUGUUCUCUCUCCUAUGCAGUUUUUCUCUUUGUUGUUGUUUUUUUGUUUUGUUUUGUUUUGUUUUUUGAAACAGAGUCUCGCUCUGUCGCCCAGACUGGAGUGCAGUGACGCCAUCUCAGCUCACUGAAACCUCAGCCCCUGGGGUUCAAGCAAUCCUCCUGCCUCAGCCACCCUAGUAGCUGGGAUUAUAGGCGGGCGCUACGACGCCUGACUAUUUUUUGUAUUUUUAGCAGAGACGGGGUUUCUCCAUGUUGUCGAGGCUAGUCUCCAACUCCUGACCUCAGGUGAUCCAUGCACCUCCCAUGCAGUUUUAUCCAGGCUCUGCCUUACUCGGUGACAAGGUUUGGGGCAGAAACUUCAGAAAGAGCUCCACUGACAGGGUCUUGGUCAGUUGCCCAGGCUGGAGUACAGUGGCACAAUCAUGGCUCACUGCAGCCUUGACCUCUUGGACUCAAGUGAUCCUCCCACCUCAGCCUCCUGCCUCAGCCACCUACGUUGCUAGGACUGCAAGCACAUGCCACCACACAAGGUUAAUUUUUUUAUUUUUUAUUUUUAUAAGGAUAGGGUCUCUCUAUGUUGCCUAGGCUGGUCUCAAACUCCUGGGCUCAAGCAAUCCUCCUGCCUUGGCCUCCCCAAGUGCUGGAAUUACAGGCGUAAGCCACUGUGCCCAGCUUAGAAGUUUCUAAUUUUAAAGACAGCCAG
rnacentral:lncRNA from 1 species